UGAACGCUGGCGGCAGGCCUAACACAUGCAAGUCGAACGGUAACAGGCAGAAGCUUGCUUCUUUGCUUACGAGUGGCGGACGGGUGAGUAAUGUCUGGGAAACUGCCUGAUGGAGGGGGAUAACUACUGGAAACGGUAGCUAAUACCGCAUAACGUCGCAAGACCAAAGAGGGGGACCUUCGGGCCUCUUGCCAUCGGAUGUGCCCAGAUGGGAUUAGCUAGUAGGUGGGGUAACGGCUCACCUAGGCGACGAUCCCUAGCUGGUCUGAGAGGAUGACCAGCCACACUGGAACUGAGACACGGUCCAGACUCCUACGGGAGGCAGCAGUGGGGAAUAUUGCACAAUGGGCGCAAGCCUGAUGCAGCCACGCCGCGUGUAUGAAGAAGGCCUUCGGGUUGUAAAGUACUUUCAGCGGGGAGGAAGGGAGUAAAGUUAAUACCUUUACUCAUUGACGUUACCCGCAGAAGAAGCACCGGCUAACUCCGUG
rnacentral:rRNA from 1 species